rnacentral:rRNA from 1 species
UACGAAGGGUGCAAGCGUUACUCGGAAUUACUGGGCGUAAAGCGUGCGUAGGUGGUUUGUUAAGUCUGAUGUGAAAGCCCUGGGCUCAACCUGGGAAUUGCAUUGGAUACUGGCAGUCUAGAGUGCGGUAGAGGGUAGCGGAAUUCCCGGUGUAGCAGUGAAAUGCGUAGAUAUCGGGAGGAACAUCCGUGGCGAAGGCGGCUACCUGGACCAGCACUGACACUGAGGCACGAAAGCGUGGGGAGCAAAC